GAUGAACGCUGGCGGCGUGCCUAAUACAUGCAAGUCGAGCGAACGGACGAGAAGCUUGCUUCUCUGAUGUUAUCGGCGGACGGGUGAGUAACACGUGGAUAACCUACCUAUAAGACUGGGAUAACUUCGGGAAACCGGAGCUAAUACCGGAUAAUAUUUUGAACCGCAUGGUUCAAAAGUGAAAGACGGUCUUGCUGUCACUUAUAGAUGGAUCCGCGCUGCAUUAGCUAGUUGGUAAGGUAACGGCUUACCAAGGCAACGAUGCAUAGCCGACCUGUGAGGGGGAUCGCCCACACGGGAACGGAGACACGGUCCAGACUCCUGCGGUAGGCAGCAGAAGGGAAUCUUCCGCAAUGGGCGAAAGCCUGACGGAGCAACGCCGCGUGAGUGAUGAAGGUCUUCGGAUCGUAAAACUCUGUUAUUAGGGAAGAACAUAUGUGUAAGUAACUGUGCACAUCUUGACGGUACCUAAUCAGAAAGCCACGGCUAACUACGUG
rnacentral:rRNA from 1 species